rnacentral:rRNA from 1 species
UACGGGGGGAGCAAGCGUUGUUCGGAUUUACUGGGCGUAAAGGGCGCGUAGGCGGCGCAACAAGUCACUUGUGAAAUCUCCGGGCUUAACCCGGAACGGUCAAGUGAUACUGUUGUGCUAGAGUGCGGAAGGGGCAACUGGAAUUCUCGGUGUAGCGGUGAAAUGCGUAGAUAUCGAGAGGAACACCUGCGGCGAAGGCGGGUUGCUGGGCCGACACUGACGCUGAUGCGCGAAAGCCAGGGGAGCGAACGGG